GACAGGGUGAAAUUGCUACAGCACUGGGCUGCCUCUGCCAAGGAGGACAGCAGCUCUGGCCUGCGUCUGGGAAGCUCCAAUCCGGCUUUUGCAAAGGAGUGGGGGUAGAGGAGGGCCCUGUUCCUUCCCAGGACCGCGGCCUGGCUCUGCAGGGGCCCUUUGAGCUGGAAGUGGCUUCCGGUCCCUCUUGGGGUGGCGACUUUCCAGGCUCCCUAAGCUGAGCCCUGGGAAGGUCUGAGGAUGUGACUGGAGUGUCAGCUGUGCCUCUCCACAGCCUCCCCAGAGGGUGCUAGGCUGGAAGAGGAAGGCGGGAAGGCAUUGAUCCUUCCAGGCGGCAGAGGCUGUGGCUUGGGCACUGGCUUUAGGGUUGGCGCCCGUCUUCCACGGUGGCUCUUGCUUUCAUCACCUGUGUGACCGAGCGGGUUACCCCACUCCUCUGGCCUGUAGAGUGGAGACUUCAGGGACGUGCAGUGAGGAUGGAACUGGUCCGAAGCGCUCUCUCCACCCCCUGGCUCCUCUUGGGCUUUCAGAAGUGCAGCUCUGAUCCCAGACGGUGUUGAGUCAGCCCAAAGCCCGGGACACAGCAGUUGUGUGCUGUGCUGCCGUGGACAUUCGUGUGCUUGCUGUUGGGGGGAUACCUGCUUUGAGCCCAUCGGCAGGGACAACUGCUACACCCGCUGCUAUUCAUGCGCAAGCUGCCAGGGGACAGGGAGCUCCGAAGAUACAAGUGACUGGACCGGCCAUGGCGGAUCCCGAACUUCCGGAGUCUAUGACGACCACUGAUACCAGGAAUGGCGGUACGUGUGGUGGAGACGAAGGACCAGAUGUGAACACCAUGGACUGUGUGGCACCGGGGAUCAAACCCAGGGCCUUUGCGCUCAACUGUAUCUCCAGCCCACAUUAAAAUCUUAAGAGAGGGCCUCAGCAGAUUGCUGAACUGCCCAGGCUCUGCUCAAACUUGAGAUCCUCCUGCCUCAGCCUCCCGGAGGGCUGGGAUUACAG